rnacentral:rRNA from 1 species
UCCUACGGGGCGCAGCAGUAGGGAAUCUUCGGCAAUGGACGAAAGUCUGACCGAGCAACGCCGCGUGAGUGAAGAAGGUUUUCGGAUCGUAAAACUCUGUUGGUAUAGAAGAACGUUGGUGAGAGUGGAAAUCUCAUCAAGUGACGUUAACUACCCAGAAAGCGACGGCUAACUACGUGCCAGCAGCCUCUGUAAUACGUAGUUCCCUAGCGUUGUCCGUCUUUAUUGGUCGUAA